rnacentral:lncRNA from 1 species
UCUGUAACAAAAAAAUAAAUAAAUACAUUUGCCGUCUCUUGCAAUUUGAAAGACAACCAGAAUCUCAAUCACUCGUUUUGUACAACUAGUUUGUGUCACUAAACAUUUUAAAAUUUAAAUCCAAAAAGAAACCGAAUUUAACUGUUUACAGUGACCUGUGAUGCACAGACGCGGCUGAGAUUCGCCGUGCCGCCGUCUCCGACGCGGUUCCGACAUGGACGCACGUACGACACGCGUACGAUUCGCGUCAGACGCGGAUAUUGCCGUAUCCAACAAAAACAAAAAAAACAUUUGGUCGGACACGGAUCCGAGACUGCUCUGGUGUAAACCGACGCGGCCAAUCACAGAAAAAAUGAAGAAAAAGAAUGAGAAUUAGAGAAUCAGUAGAGAAAGGUAGUGUUUUCGCCGCCCCCUUUUCCAUCACCACACCUUUUCCGGUGCCGCCGUCUGCUUCCUUCCCUUCUUCUUGGUUCUAAUUUCAUGGUUUUUAUUGUAAUCGCCGUCGCCGUUUAUGUUCCUCUGCUUUGCUGCUUCGUGUUUUGUCCAAAAACAUGACCACCACCACCACACAUUUUGUGACUUUGUCCUUUCUGAAUUAAUAUAAUAUAAUACUAUGACCGGUGCUAAUCACAUCCAAAAAAAAAACUAGUUACACCCAAAUUUAUUUAAAAUUUUACAAUAAUACCAAAAUUGCCCUCUUCAUGUAAAUUUUUAAAAACCCAUCUUUUAUGAUCAUUCUGAACCCUUACCCCCUUUCAUCCACAAAUCACGCAACCAAUAUCUGAAUCAACAUCUUUGUUAUUGAUCUGUACUAUAUUCAUAAAGGUUAGUGAAUUUCAUGAAUUUCAUUUUCAAUGAGUUUCUAUUUGUUUAUUGUUUGUUUUGGUAUGAGAUAUGUUCAAUUUAGGUUAGUGUAAAUUAAGUUUACUUAUGUUCAAUUUAGGUUAAUGUAAAUUUAGUUUACUUAUGUCAAUGUAAAUUAAGUUUACUUAUUAUGUUCAAUCUAGGUUAAUGUAAAUUCAGUUUACAUGUAUAUAAGAGGUUAGUGUAAACUCAGUUUACUCAAUCUAGGUUAAUGCAAAUUAAGUUUAUUCAAUCUAGGUUAAUGUAAAUUCAGUUUACUUAUGUUCAAUCUAGGUUAAUGUAAAUUCAGUUUACUUAUGUUCAAUUUAGGUUAAUGUAAAUUUAGUUUACUUAUGUCAAUGUAAAUUAAGUUUACUUAUGUUCAAUUUAGGUUAAUGUAAAUUUAGUUUACUUAUGUUCAAUCUAGGUUAAUGUAAAUUUAGUUUACUUACGUUCAAUCUAGAUAUAAAAGGUUAUUGUAAAUUCAGUUUACUUAUUCAAUUCAAUUUAGGUUAAUGUAAAUUUAGUUUACUUAUGUUCAAUGUAAAUUAAGUUUACUUAUGUUCAAUUUAGGUUAAUGUAAAUUUAGUUUACUUACGUUCAACUUAGGGGUAUAUUAGUCAUUCUGGGGUGUAACUUGUUUUUUUUGGGGUGUGACUAGCACCAGUCUAAUACUAUGAACCUUUACCACCACAGGUUUAUAGUAGUAACAUUUUUUCCUUAAAAAAAAAAAAAAGGUUGAUUUUCUCAAUGUGGGGUGAGUUGAACAUGAUUUCAUCAUUUUGUUACACAAAGUGUUGAGUUUAAAUAAACAUAAAGUUUGCUUUUCAUUUUAGAGUUAAAUUGUGAUCAUAAAUUUUUUAUUUUAUGAACAUGUAAAAUAUAUAAAGCCGUGUCCGUGUCCGUGUCCUAGGUUUUUUUAGAUUAGCCGUGUCCGUGCUGUGUCCCGUGUCCAUGCCUCAUUUCACAUUUUUCCAAAAAAGACUAUCUGAUUCAUCAGAGAACUAUGAAAAAUACUAAGCUGAAAAGAAGGGUACAAAGAACAAGUAUGAUAAAGGGAUACAUUUUCAUAUUAAUUAAUCUUUAAAAUACUUUUCAAAGGUUUACUUCAAAGAUUUCACAGUCAGGAAAUACCAAAACCAAACAGUUUGAAGUUUAAACAAAA